CAGUUUUAGAUUUUCUGCUAUGAAUUUAAUGGCCGCAGUACUUUGACUGUGCUAAGGUAGCAUAAUCAAUUGUCUCUUAAUUGGAGACUAGAAUGAAUGAAUUUAUGGUUAAAUUCUUUAUUUAUAUAUUUUAUUAAAAUUUAUUUAUUAGGUGAAAAUACCUAAAUAAUUUUAUUAGACGAGAAGACCCCAGGAAUUUAAUUAUUUUUUUUAUUGGGGCGAUAUCUAAACAUAACAAGAACUUUAGAUUUUUAUAAUAAAACGAAAGAUUUUUAAUUAAAAAUAAAUUACCCUGGGGAUAACAGCAUAAUUUUUUAUAAAGAUUGUGACCUCGAUGUUGGAUUAGAAAAAAAUUUUACUUAAAGAGUAAUUUUUUAUGUUCUGUUCGAACAAUAAUAAUUUUUCUACAUGAUCUGAUCACAAACC
rnacentral:rRNA from 1 species